AUGCCAGCUCAUAAUGCUAGCAAAGCUACAUCCAUAUUCCUUCUACUCGAGGCACAUGUCUGCAGCCAACUUCCAGUUUCUACCUCCCCGAUCUAUUUUGCUUCUGUAGGCUUCUGCCAGCACCACAAUUUAUCAAGGAAAGGAAGGAAUUUUUCACAUGGAGCUGCUGCCCUUGUCGCUAAGCAAGAACUAGAUCAUAGCCAAAAAGGAAGAUUGGUCCGAUUCGUCAUGCCUCCAGAGAAGAUAGAGAUCAAGCCAAAAAACAUCGAUGCUGCAGCAGGAGAGAUACUUGGUGUUUUGGAGGACACAAGCAAAGGAAAUCUGAUCUACUUCAAGGGCUGGGAGGGAUUUGGAGCAUCGGCUAUUCUCAAUCUGGUAGCUCAACGCCUGAAAUCAUCAACAAGACAGAACAAGUUUGAUAUAGUUAUCCAUGUGGAUUGCUCGGUAUGGAAAAGCAUGAGAGCCCUGCAAAAGGCAAUCGCGGAGGAGUUGGAGCUUCCGCAUUCAGUAAUGGCCAUCUUUGAUCGGUGUGAGGAGGACGACGACUUCAGUGGGAUAGACCAAGGCUCCAGAGGGGUGAUAGAAGAUAUCAGAAGGGAAAUCUUCAGAAAACUUGUUAACAGUAUAUUUGUGGUAGUUUUUCACAACGGGACCAGAAGGUACAUUGAUUUGUAUGAUUGCGGUGUCCCAAUAACAAAAUUUUUGAGUAACAUGAUGUUGUGGACCUGGCACGGGAGGUUUCGGGUCGAUCUCGAUCGAAUACUAGAAGAUGGGGAACAGGGAAAGAUGAAGAGUCAGACAGAUGUUCUCUUAUAUGCUUCUCCGCAACUUGAAGAUGAGGAAAUACGAGAUCUACUGCGUGAAGAGGCUUUGGAGGUCGCCAGGUGUGCGGGCAUUGUUAAGCCCGAUGAUAUAAGCCACAAGAUAGUCAUGGAGUGCCUCAUAUACAUGACAAAAAUUGCUACGGACUUGAAGACACAUGCACCAAACUAUUGGAUCUGUGAUGGUAUUAUACAGGGCCAAGACAAUGCAUCAGCAUGGGAUAUUGGCAAUUCUCUGCACAGAAACAUGUGCUUGGAUGUUGAGCUAACAUAUAAUGAGGAAACAGCUCCCAUGCUACAGGUGUCGGGUGAUUUACUUGUUAACCGCUAG
rnacentral:rRNA from 1 species